rnacentral:rRNA from 1 species
UACGUAGGGUGCAAGCGUUAAUCGGAAUUACUGGGCGUAAAGCGUGCGCAGGCGGCUUUGCAAGACAGAUGUGAAAUCCCCCGGGCUUAACCUGGGAACUGCAUUUGUGACUGCAUGGCUGGAGUAGUGGCAGAGGGGGGGUGGAAUUCCACGUGUAGCAGUGAAAUGCGUAGAGAUGUGGAGGAACACCGAUGGCGAAGGCAGCCC